rnacentral:rRNA from 1 species
CCUACGGAGGGCAGCAGUGAGGAAUAUUGGUCAAUGGGCUUACGCCUGAACCAGCCAAGUCGCGUGAGGGAAGACUGCCCUAUGGGUUGUAAACCUCUUUUGUCAGGGAGCAACGCCGGCUACGUGUAGCCGGACUGAGAGUACCUGAAGAAAAAGCAUCGGCUAACUCCGUGCCAGCAGCCGCGGUAAUACGGAGGAUGCGAGCGUUAUCCGGAUUUAUUGGGUUUAAAGGGUGCGUAGGCGGAAUGCCAAGUCAGCGGUAAAAUCGCGGGGCUCAACCUCGCUCCGCCGUUGAAACUGGGGUUCUUGAGUGGGCGAGAAGUAUGCGGAAUGCGUGGUGUAGCGGUGAAAUGCAUAGAUAUCACGCAGAACUCCGAUUGCGAAGGCAGCAUACCGGCGCCCAACUGACGCUGAAGCACGAAAGCGUGGGUAUCGAACAGGAUUAGAUACCCUAGUAGUC